rnacentral:lncRNA from 1 species
UGAAAUUGUAUUUAAUUAAAUAAACCAACACAUAAUUAAAAAAAUUUAAUUUAAAAUUAAAUUUUGAAUCCAAAAUCUCAAAAUUUAAAGAUUUUUUUUUUUGUUAUUAAGACAAUCUAGCUAACACACUAAAAUUUUGAAUUAUAUAAUUAAAAAUUAAAAUUUCAUUGUAUUAAUCUCCUACUUUUUAUUCUUAAAAAAAUAAAUUGAAUUCUAGACUUCCAUUUAAAUAGAAAUCUCAAAUUUUAAUGGUUAAUGUGUUCCCUAAAAGACCUAUGUAGUUGGGUAAUUUCUUUACAAUGACUCGGGUAUCUUGAAUUAUUGUUAUCCAAAACUUUGAAAGUCUUUGAGUGAACAUUGUCAACAUCUUCUCUUGAUUUGCUUGCAAUUUUAUGAUCAACUUUUUUUAUAUAAAAAAAUAUAACUAUGUCAAUCGGACAAGUUGGAUCUAAUUUAGUUUCAAUCAAUGAACUAAUAAUAUUCCAAUUUAAUCUUUAAUUAUUAAGGGUCAAUUCAACUCCAAAAAAGCAAAAAUAUCAUUUCAAUGUGAAACAAAAAGUUAUAUCUAAAAUUCGAUUUUAUUUCAACGAAUUACUCAUAUUUCUUAAGAAAUUAAUUCUUAAAAGAAUUUGAUUGUUAUGAAACUAUGUCGGACUCUCGUAUUAAUCCUGUCUAGGUAUAUUGGAUCAUUGAUUUUGUAAUAAAAUUCACGAGCUUUUUGAUGCGAAAAAUUCAUUGCGGAGCAUAUGACUCUUGCUAUUUUUAAAAAAGUUAAUGAAAAUAAAGAGUAUAUUAUUGUGGAUCAUUGAAAGUGAAACAAACAUUGCAAAGAUAUAGACGUACCAAACUCCAUUGAAGAAGUAGUAACGAUCAUGUUCAUGAUAUAAAGGUUGAAGACUCCCCCACUCAAAAAUCUCAAAGGUUUGAAAUGAAAGGGCGGUGGUGGUUCUUAAUGAAACUACUACAAGAAACAAACAAUUAAUAAUAAUACUUACUAACAAAGACAAGUGGUGGAACAAAGAUCCAAUAGCAUGUUUUGUUUAAUCU